CAGCCGCCGCGGUAAUACCGGCGGCCCGAGUGGCGGUCACUAUUAUUGGGCUUAAAGCGUCCGUAGCCGGGUUGGGAAGUCCUCCGGGAAAUCUGGCCGCUUAACGGUCAGAAUGCCGGAGGAUACUCCCAGCCUAGGGAGCGGGAGAGGCCGAGGGUAUUCCCGGAGUAGGGGUGAAAUCCUAUAAUCCCGGGAGGACCACCUGUGGCGAAGGCGCUCGGCUGGAACGCGUCCGACGGUGAGGGACGAAGGCCAGGGGAGCAAACCGGAUUAGAUACCCGGGUAGUCCUGGCUGUAAACGAUGCGGACUUUGUGUCGGACAAGCUAUGAGCUUGUCCGGUGCCGGAGGGAAACCGUUAAGUCCGCCGCCUGGGGAGUACGGCCGCAAGGCUGAAACUUAAAGGAAUUGGCGGG
rnacentral:rRNA from 1 species